rnacentral:rRNA from 1 species
CCUACGGGAGGCAGCAGUGGGGAAUUUUCCGCAAUGGGCGAAAGCCUGACGGAGCAAUACCGCGUGAGGGACGACUGCCUAUGGGUUGUAAACCUCUUUUUUCAGGGAGGAAUCAAUGACGUGUACCUGAAGAAUAAGCAUCGGCUAACUCCGUGCCAGCAGCCGCGGUAAU